rnacentral:rRNA from 1 species
GAACGCUGGCGGCAGGCCUAACACAUGCAAGUCGAGCGGCAGCACGGGGAGCUUGCUCCCUGGUGGCGAGCGGCGGACGGGUGAGUAAUGCAUAGGAAUCUGCCCGGUAGUGGGGGAUAACCUGGGGAAACCCAGGCUAAUACCGCAUACGUCCUACGGGAGAAAGCAGGGGAUCUUCGGACCUUGCGCUAUCGGAUGAGCCUAUGUCGGAUUAGCUGGUUGGUGAGGUAAUGGCUCACCAAGGCGACGAUCCGUAGCUGGUCUGAGAGGAUGAUCAGCCACACUGGGACUGAGACACGGCCCAGACUCCUACGGGAGGCAGCAGUGGGGAAUAUUGGACAAUGGGCGCAAGCCUGAUCCAGCCAUGCCGCGUGUGUGAAGAAGGCCCUCGGGUUGUAAAGCACUUUCAGCGAGGAAGAAGGCUUGGCGGUCAAUACCCGUCAAGAAGGACAUCACUCGCAGAAGAAGCACCGGCUAACUCCGUGCCA